UCUAAAAUGACAGACAAAUGUGUAAGACUUAAGAUCUUAAAAUGAAGAUAAUCUUCUUUUAGAA
rnacentral:tRNA from 1 species